rnacentral:tRNA from 1 species
GCAGGAUUAGCUCAGCUGGGAGAGCAUCUGCCUUACAAGCAGAGGGUCGGCGGUUCGAGCCCGUCAUCCUCCACCA